UUUGCUUUGAAUUGGGCCUUAGUGGGCUUGGGCUGCUGGAACUAUUGGGCUGCUGUAUGGGUGGCUUGCUGGAGCUGCUGGGCGUUGGGCUGGGCAGUGGCCUGUUGGGCAGUGGCCUGCUGCUGUUGGGCUGAACCUGCUGGACUGGAGCUGUUGAAAUGGGCCGAAUCUGCUGAACUGCUGCGCUAGGCCUGCUGCUGGACUGGAGUUGCACGGGUGGGCUACUGCUGGUGGGCUGCUGCUGGUGGACUGCUGCUGGACUGCCAAAAAUGGGCUGCUGUUUUUUUAUUUAUUUUAUUUAUUUCUUUUUCCUUUUCCUAUCUUUCUUUUCUUCUUUUCUUUCUUCUUUACUGUUUGGGCUGCUGUUUUCUUUCUCUUUUUACUUGCUGUUUUUUUGUUUUCUUUUUUUGCUUGCUUGUGUAGGUGCGACGGGGGUGGGAAUGCAAGGGCGCGGUGGUGAGCACGGUGGUGGCGAAGGAGCGGCCGGAUUUUUGAAGUGGUGACGGUGACGGUGGUGGUGCGGCGGUGGUGAUGGCUUUUUACUUACUGCUGUUUUUAUUUUUUUGAGUUUUCUCUGCUUCUUUUUUUUUUUGGGGUUCCUCCCCGAAAAAUCCCCUUCUUUCUCUAAUAUUCCUCUUUUUAAAUCCAUCAAUUUUUGUUUCUUUCUCUUUGUUUUCAGGUGGCAGAGGAGGAGGGAGGCCAUGCAUUGGGGUGGCAGGCGUGGCGAGCGGGGCACGCAAGAAUGCUAGUUGGGGGCAGUCUUGUCAUGCCCAGAAGGACUAAAUUGUAACGGGUGCAAAGUUUCUGGGGCAAAAAUGCAAUUUUAGGAAAAUAUGGGGCUACAAUGUAAUUUUUAGAAAGUUUAGGGGUUAAAGUGUAAUUUUGAGAAAGUUAGAGGUUGAAAUGUAAUUUAGAAAAGUUUAGGGGUUGAAAUGUAAUUUAUAUUUUUUGUUUU